rnacentral:rRNA from 1 species
UAAUACGGAGGGUCCAAGCGUUAUCCGGAUUUAUUGGGUUUAAAGGGUUCGUAGGCGGGAUAUUAAGUCAGUGGUGAAAUCCUACAGCUUAACUGUAGAACUGCCAUUGAUACUGAUAUUCUUGAAUUCACCUGAAGUAGGCGGAACAUGACAUGUAGCGGUGAAAUGCUUAGAUAUGUCAUAGAACACCGAUUGCGAAGGCAGCUUACUAAAGUGAAAUUGACGCUAAGGAACGAAAGCGUGGGGAGCGAACAGGAUUAGAUACCCUGGUAGUCCACGCCGUAAACGAUGAUCACUCGUCAUUGGCGAUACACUGUCAGUGACCAAGCGAAAGUGUUAAGUGAUCCACCUGGGGAGUACGGUCGCAAGAUUG